AAUGUCGCUGACCGCAAAGAGAUGUGGAAGGCCCCCGGUGUUGUCUUUUCUGGAAAAGAAAAAGAGAAAGCAAAGCCUUGAUAGAAGAAGGGGGAAAACAAGGAUUUACGUGGGAAAUCACAUUGACCGAUGGUUGACGCUUAAAGAAAAGCUGGAUUUCAGAAAUGAUGCAGAAGUUGCGGGGUUUUUACUGGACUUGUAUGACAGCUGUGGGCCGUUGUCAAAAGCUGCCAUCGGUUCCCACCCUGAGAGUGUGAGAAGAAUUAACGUGAAGGAAGAAAGAGCAUUGUCAGGCAGCACUUCUUUGAUAGCAGCUGAUGGAACGUAUGACAAUGAUGACCAGUUGUCUAAAGAAUCUGCUUGUUCUGAACUUGGAGAUGUGAGAAUUGUAACUGUGAAAGAAGAAAGAGAGAUGCUGCACGACUGCUUGUCAACAGGGACAGAUGACACUGCCGUGCUCAGCGAGGCAGCCACACCGUCAGUCGACUGCUGAUUGUUUUACUGCAGUGUCAUCACUAACUGGGGCAUUCACAGUUGAGAUCAGAGGAGCCUCAAAUAGGGCGACACUGCGAACCUAGGACAUUUCUUUGGCACUGCAUGGUGUGUCCAAACCCCUCGCUAACAUGGUGAAUAGGUGAGCAGCUUGGGGUUCUGAAAGUAAUUCCACGGCACAGAAGAAUUCUUGGAAGCUAGGUCAGGAGAAAAUAAGUACCAUUGAUGAUGAAGCUGUCAAAUUCAAGGACCUUCUUCAAAAUAUCAUGUUUCUCUGGCAAAUAAUUUUAGUAUGGAGUGCAACGAUAAUUGAAUUCCUGGGACUGAUUUGAUACAGGGUGACCAGCCAGAAGAAAAUCAGGCUCUUGCAUAACACUUUUGGGGCAGUUUUUGGUCCAUUUUGAUUUUGCUGUGAGGUUAUUGUGAAGUAUAAAGAAUUACUGUAAGUCCUAGUAUGAAAAUUGAUGUUGCUUGUUGAA
rnacentral:lncRNA from 1 species